rnacentral:rRNA from 1 species
AGGCCAGACUCCUACGGGAGGCAGCAGUGAGGAAUAUUGGUCAAUGGGCGCGAGCCUGAACCAGCCAAGUCGCGUGAGGGAUGACGGCCCUACGGGUUGUAAACCUCUUUUGUCGGGGAGCAAAUUCCGUUACGUGUAACGGAGUCGAGAAUACCCGAAGAAAAAGCAUCGGCUAACUCCGUGCCAGCAGCCGCGGUAAUACGGAGGAUGCGAGCGUUAUCCGGAUUUAUUGGGUUUAAAGGGUGCGUAGGCGGAAUGCCAAGUCAGCGGUAAAAUCGCGGGGCUCAACCUCGCUCCGCCGUUGAAACUGGCGUUCUUGAGUGGGCGAGAAGUAUGCGGAAUGCGUGGUGUAGCGGUGAAAUGCAUAGAUAUCACGCAGAACGCCGAUUGCGAAGGCAGCAUACCGGCGCCCAACUGACGCUGAGGCACGAAAGCGUGGGGAUCGAACAGGAUUAGAUACCCCCGUACC